CCUACGGGAGGCAGCAGUGAGGACUAUUGGUCAAUGGGCGUAAGCCUGAACCAGCCAAGUCGCGUGAGGGAUGAAGGUUCUAUGGAUCGUAAACCUCUUUUAUAAGAGAAUAAAGUGUGGGACGUGUCCUGUUUUGUAUGUACCUUAUGAAUAAGGAUCGGCUAACUCCGUGCCAGCAGCCGCGGUAAUACGGAGGAUCCGAGCGUUAUCCGGAUUUAUUGGGUUUAAAGUGUGCGUAGGCGGCCUGUUAAGUCAGCGGUGAAAGUGUGGGGCUCAACCAUAGAAUUGCCGUUGAAACUGGGAGGCUUGAGUAUGUUUGAGGCAGGCGGAAUGCGUGGGGUAGCGGUGAAAUGCUUAGAUAUCACGCAGAACCCCGAUGGCGAAGGCAGCCUGCCAAGCCAUGACUGACGCUGAUGCACGAAAGCGUGGGGAUCAAACAGGAUUAGAUACCCCGGUAGUC
rnacentral:rRNA from 1 species